GGUUCGCGCCGAGCGCAGCGAGACAACGUUGCGAACGCAACGGCCCGAAG
rnacentral:sRNA from 1 species